AUAUAUAUAUAUAUAUAUAUAUAUAUAUAUAUGUUUUUUCCUGGAUAACCCCUUUAAUUUUUGCUGGAGUUCUCCUUUAACAUCACGUCUACCUUUUUCCCCCUACACUGGUAGCCCAGUUGACCAAUAUCCAUGGCUAAUAUGGUGCAGUAGAAAUACUCGCAGGCCUAUAGAAAUCUAUAUCAGAAGUCAAAAUGGUGUGUGCCAAAUAAGGCCAUCCGCAUUGAUGAACAUCGAUGCCAUCCGCAUCGGCUUGAGAUUACUUAGAUCAGUGCACCCUGGUUGGGAAGCACUGACUUAAAUGAUAGCAUACUGUAUGUAUUGAUUCGGGCCACAAGAAGGCUGCAUUUAUUGUAUGUAAGGGUCAGUAUAUUUUAUUAAUACUUGAACUAGAUUUUAAACAAUUUACAAGGGUCUUUCUGAUGUACUAGUCUUGUGCCUUUCUGUGUUUGCCUUCUUACGUGUGGAACGUGUGAACUUGUUUCUUGUGCUUUUUAUGUCAUGUACACAUACAGUAUAUGCAGUGAAUAUUUCGGAUUCGGUUAUCUGUAUACUACUGAAAUUAGCUGGGGUUUUUCUAAGUCAAAACUAAAUGUUCGCCAUAUUGAAUUUAUUGUUUUUAUUUUUUUUUUGUCUUUUGUUUGGUUUUUACGUUUCUAAAUUCUCACUCACUACAAGGGACAUUGUCUAAAAUUGGAAAAUGAAUGUUAUAUUCGAUGAAGUAUUAAUAUUGUGAUUCAUGGACAUUGUGAUUUCUGUGCGUAAGGAAUAAAAGUUACCUAUGUAACGUAGGUGGUUUCUUUCCAAUCGAUUUAUAGUAGACGAUUUUCAUUUAACUUUGGGGUAAAAAUUCUAUGCAAUUUUGUGGCAUGGUGAUUCUUUCGGUUGUAACUUUGUGCUUUCGACACAGAUCCAAAGGAUAAAUAAAAAUAUUAACACAAAGUA